rnacentral:rRNA from 1 species
GACGAACGCUGGCGGCGUGCUUAACACAUGCAAGUCGAACGGUGAAGCGCCUUCCUUGUUGGUGGGUGUGGAGGAGUGGCGAACUGGUGAGUAACACGUGAGUAACCUGCCCCCUUCUUCUGGAUAACCGCAUGAAGGUGUGGCUAACACGUGAUAUUCUGGGUCUGUCGCAUGAUGGGUCUGGGAAAGAUUUUGUGUCGGUGGGGGAUGGGCUCGCGGCGUAUCAGCUUGUUGGUGGGGUGAUGGCCUACCAAGGCGGCGACGAGUAGCCGACCUGAGAGGAGGGUCGGCGGCAAUGGUGCGACUACGCGGCCCAGACGCCUACGACAGGCGGCAGCAGUGAAGAUUAUUGCAUGAGGGGAGGAAGGCUGAUGCAGCGACGCGGCGGGAGGGAUGGAGUCCGUCGCGUUGUGAACCUCUAUCGCGAGUGAAGCAGGCUGGCCUCGUCUGUGGGUGGGUUGACGGUACCUGGAUAAGAAGCGCCGGCUAACUACGUG